UACGUAGGGGGCAAGCGUUGUCCGGAUUUACUGGGCGUAAAGAGCGUGUAGGCGGCCAAACAGGUCCGUUGUGAAAACUGGAGGCUUAACCUCCAGACGUCGACGGAAACCGUGUGGCUAGAGUCCGGAAGAGGAGAGUGGAAUUCCUGGUGUAGCGGUGAAAUGCGCAGAUAUCAGGAAGAACACCAAUGGCGAAGGCAGCUCUCUGGGACGGUACUGACGCUGAGACGCGAAAGCGUGGGGAGCGAACAGGAUUAGAUACCCUGGUAGUCCACGCCGUAAACGAUGGGUGCUAGGUGUGGGAGGUGUCGACUCCUUCCGUGCCGUAGCUAACGCAUUAAGCACCCCGCCUGGGGAGUACGGCCGCAAGGCUAAA
rnacentral:rRNA from 1 species